CAGGAAGAUGCCAGAGGUCCCGGAGCCAGGAGGACGCCAGAGGUCUAGGAAACCCGGAGGUUACCCAUUCCAAUGCACAAAAAAAAAAUUUUUUUUUCUCAGUCUAGAGCUAGAUAUCCCUUGAUCAAGAAUGAACAAACCUGAUUAUGAAUAGAGGGAAGGGCAGUCCUUCAAGCCAGAGAUUUUGUCCACAUGGAGGUUUUCCUUUCCUGAGUGCUGAAGGAUGACUCUUUGUGAGUCCACG